rnacentral:rRNA from 1 species
UACGGGGGGGGUAAGCGUUGUUCGGAAUUACUGGGCGUAAAGGGCUCGUAGGCGGCCAACUAAGUCAGACGUGAAAUCCCUCAGCUUAACUGGGGAACUGCGUCUGAUACUGGAUGGCUUGGAUUCGGGAGAGGAAUGCGGAAUUCCAGGUGUAGCGGUGAAAUGCGUAGAUAUCUGGAGGAACACCGGUGGCGAAGGCGGCAUUCUGGACCGACAUUGACGCUGAGGAGCGAAAGCCAGGGGAGCCAAACGGGGAU